rnacentral:lncRNA from 11 species
GCAUGCCACAUCAUUUGAUACUACUUUAACUGAAUCCUGAGAUUUAUAUUUUGGUUGCGGCCCUUGCAGUUUUCUGCUUGAGAGCUCUAUUCUACUUAUGCCUCAGCCACCCAUACUGAAAAUUCGCAUGCUUUACCUGCGGAGAGUGGGAAGAGGAGACCCGAGAGGCCAUAACAAGAACAG